AGCGGUGUAGUUCAGUGGUUAGAACGUUGGGAUCAUACCCCAUAUGUCGGGGGUUCGAAUCCCUUUUCCGUUA
rnacentral:tRNA from 1 species